rnacentral:tRNA from 1 species
GGUGGGUUGGCUCAGUUGUUAGAGCGUAGGUCUCGUAAACGACCGAGAGAUCGCGGGAUCGAAUCCCGCUCUUAGGC